UACGGGGGGGGCAAGCGUUGCUCGGAAUGACUGGGCGUAAAGGGCGCGUAGGCGGCGGUCACAGUCAGAUGUGAAAUUCCUGGGCUUAACCUGGGGGCUGCAUUUGAUACGUGGUUGCUUGAGUGGGGAAGAGGGUCGUGGAAUUCCCAGUGUAGAGGUGAAAUGCGCAGAUAUCGGGAGGAACACCUAUGGCGAAGGCAGCUCGCUGGGACGUUACUGACGCUGAGACGCGAAAGCGUGGGGAGCAAACAGG
rnacentral:rRNA from 1 species